UAACGCGUGAGGAACCUGCCUCAAAGAGGGGGACGACAGUUGGAAACGACUGCUAAUACCGCAUAAGCCCACGGCUCGGCAUCGAGCAGAGGGAAAAGGAGCAAUCCGCUUUGAGAUGGCCUCGCGUCCGAUUAGCUAGUUGGUGAGGUAACGGCCCACCAAGGCGACGAUCGGUAGCCGGACUGAGAGGUUGAACGGCCACAUUGGGACUGAGACACGGCCCAGACUCCUACGGGAGGCAGCAGUGGGGAAUAUUGCACAAUGGGGGAAACCCUGAUGCAGCGGCGCCGCGUGGAGGAAGAAGGUCUUCGGAUUGUAAACUCCUGUUGUUGAGGAAGAUAAUGACGGUACUCAACAAGGAAGUGACGGCUAACUACGUGCCAGCAGCCGCGGUAAAACGUAGGUCACAAGCGUUGUCCGGAAUUACUGGGUGUAAAGGGAGCGCAGGCGGGAGAACAAGUUGGAAGUGAAAUCCAUGGGCUCAACCCAUGAACUGCUUUCAAAACUGUUUUUCUUGAGUAGUGCAGAGGUAGGCGGAAUUCCCGGUGUAGCGGUGGAAUGCGUAGAUAUCGGGAGGAACACCAGUGGCGAAGGCGGCCUACUGGGCACCAACUGACGCUGAGGCUCGAAAGUGUGGGUAGCAAACAGGAUUAGAUACCCUGGUAGUCCACAUCGUAAACGAUGAUUACUAGGUGU
rnacentral:rRNA from 1 species